GGGCCCGCACAAGCGGUGGAGUAUGUGGUUUAAUUCGACGCAACGCGAAGAACCUUACCAGGGCUUGACAUUGAGUGAAAGGCUAAGAGAUUAGCUGUUUAUCUUCGGAUAACACGAAAACAGGUGGUGCAUGGUUGUCGUCAGCUCGUGUCGUGAGAUGUUGGGUUAAGUCCCGCAACGAGCGCAACCCUUGUCCUAUGUUGCCAGCAUGUAAAGAUGGGGACUCAUAGGAGACUGCCGCAGAGAAUGCGGAGGAAGGCGGGGAUGACGUCAAAUCAUCAUGCCCCUUAUGUCCUGGGCAACACACGUACUACAAUGGGCUAAAACAGAGGGAAGCGAAGCCGCGAGGCAGAGCAAAUCCCAGAAAUAAGCUCUCAGUUCGGAUCGCAGGCUGCAACUCGCCUGCGUGAAGUCGGAAUCGCUAGUAAUCGCAGGUCAGCAUACUGCGGUGAAUACGUUCCCGGGCCUU
rnacentral:rRNA from 1 species